GUGCUUCAGUAAUAAAGUAUUUUAUGCUCUAUUGUGCAGUGUGUAAUAAUGGAGCUGUAAAGCUAUCUGAAGGAAAUUUCCUUUCGAAUGAAAAGUAUGUCCAGUACUGCCAUGAUGGAGAAUGGCAUUGGCUGUGUACUGGUGGUGAAAGCUGGACGAGAGUGGAGGCCAAUGUUGUGUGUAGACAACUGGGACUCAGCGACCAAGGAGCUAACAUAGGAGGUGCCAUGGUAUAACGCUAACAGCAGCUGAUCAAUCACUAGCCUACUUUAUGUUUGGUGGCAGAUGUACUGGAGAGGAAAGUAACAUAGGAGAGUGCAAUAAUUCAUACCAGUACAUGUAGUAAGAGUGCAGGAUGGGUAAGAUGUCAACCAGCCAACUGUAACGGUGGAGACAUAAGACUGGUGGGUGGUAUCACUAAUAGAGAGGGACGAGUGGACGUCUGUAUGCAGGGAUAUUGGGCAUCCAUCUGUUACAAUGAAGUGCUGACAGGCACUGUAUGCAAAAUGUUAGGAUUUCCAAUCGAAGGAGCAAUGGCAAAUAGUACUAACUCUUCUAUUGAUCCAAAAGUCGACUGUACAGUGACAGAUGAUGGCACCACCCUGAACUGUGGAGACACUAUACAGCCGCACAUAUGUGAUAUGGCAAGCUUAGUCAUCACAUGCCAAACUCACAACUAUGCUUUACGGAAUAAAACCACUGGAAGUAAUUCAACCAGUGCACUAGGAGCAGUGAUUGGGACUCUUGUAUUACUGGAAAUAGGGACAGUUAUUGUGUGGGUGGCUUGUACUGUCACAAGGAAAAGGCACUCAAGUCCACCAAAACAAAGCUCUAUUAAAAGUAAAUGAGAGCUACACUGACACAGCUCUAAUAGAACCAAGCUACAGUUCACUAGGUCCUAACUACAAUACUGUGACCACAAGCGAUGAACGAAUUGGUGACUAUGAUGUCAUUGAUCAGAACAAACAGAAACCGAAACCAUCCAACCCACCACCAGUGAAGGUUGAGGCCAGUAAAAGUGAGGAUGAGUUCUACAAUACAGAGGAGCAUAUGUACGCAGCUGUCAAUAAGGAGAAAAAGACUAAUGCUGAAGGAGAAUAAACCACAAUCCACAAAAGUUGUUGAAGUUAUUCCACAUUGUUCAAAUCCAAAUUGUUCAAAUUUUUCGUUGAACUCAGAACUGCAAUGUAAUUCUCAGUGGUUGAGUCCAAGCAUGGCCGCAUCUUACUGUUGCCUACGGUGGCCCUGAGCGUUACUAUUAGUUCACCUUAGCUACUUGAUACUUCGCCUACCUUAGCUACUGGGUAGUUCGCCUACCUUAGCUACUGGGUAGUUCUACUUGAUAGUUCGCCUACCUUAGCUACUGGGUAGUUCACCUACCUUAGCUACUGGGUAGUUCUACUUGAUAGUUCGCCUACCUUAGCUACUGGGUAGUUCACCUACCUUAGCUACUGGGUAGUUCUACUUGAUAGUUCGCCUACCUUAGCUACUGGGUAGUUCACCUACCUUAGCUACUGGGUAGUUCUACUUGAUAGUUCGCCUACCUUAGCUACUGGGUAGUUCACCUACCUUAGCUACUGGGUAGUUCUACUUGAUAGUUCGCCUACCUUAGCUACUUGAUAGUUCACCUACCUUCGCUGCUUGAUAGUUCACCUACCUUAGCUACUUCGCAAU